rnacentral:rRNA from 1 species
GACAGAGGGUGCGAGCGUUGUUCGGAAUUACUGGGCGUAAAGCGCGCGCAGGCGGAUCCUUAAGUCGGAAGUGAAAUUCCACCGCUCAACGGUGGCGCUGCUUCCGAUACUGCGGAUCUGGGGACCGGUAGAGGCUGGUAGAAUUGCAGGUGUAGCGGUGGAAUGCGUAGAGAUCUGCAAGAAUACCCGUGGCGAAGGCGGCCAGCUGGGCCGGGUCCGACGCUGAGGCGCGAAAGCGUGGGGAGCAAACAGG